UACGUAGGUGGCGAGCGUUGUCCGGAUUUACUGGGCGUAAAGGGCGUGCAGGCGGUUUGUUAAGUGCAGGGUGAAAGCUCCCGGCUCAACUGGGAGAGGUCCUUGCAUACUGGCGGACUUGAGGGGGGUAGAGGAAAGUGGAAUUCCCGGUGUAGUGGUGAUAUGCGUAGAUAUCGGGAGGAACACCUGUGGCGAAGGCGGCUUUCUGGGCCCUACCUGACGCUGAGACGCGAAAGCGUGGGGAGCGAACAGG
rnacentral:rRNA from 1 species